GUGGCAGCCAGAGGCUAGAGGUCUGAGUCCAAAUGAGUAGCAGCUCCAAGAAGUUCAUUUUCUUGACCUUUGGAGCAUGCUGUAUGGUGCCAGGUUCUAACAACAGUACUGUUCUCUCUAAUUUAGGUUCUGAUUCUGGAUUUGGAUCCACAUGAUGAACUCUCCAAGGCUCCAACCACAGAUCUGAUAGCAGGAUCAAGGUCCUGAACUCUAAAUAACUGAGUUAGCAAUUGUGUCAUCUUCUGCAUACAAUGCAGCACCAAACCCAAUUGGAAGAAAGAAACAAGGAGAGGAGAACCCAAAUUAGAUGCAUCUGGCUCCUUCAAAGCAUACUGAAUUUCACACACAAACACACCUGGGAAAUACCAGCUGCUGCCUGA
rnacentral:lncRNA from 1 species